rnacentral:miRNA from 1 species
UUCGGGGUUGAUGAAAAAUUAACUGGGGAAAUCUUUGUUUAAGUCUAUCUUUCAAUCUCGCUUUUUUGUACGAAGAUGCAUCUUCGUACAAAAAAGCGAGAUUGAAAGAUAGACUUAAACAAAGAUUUCCCCAGUUAAUUUUUCAUCAACCCCGAA